rnacentral:rRNA from 1 species
AUUGAACGCUGGCGGAAUGCUUUACACAUGCAAGUCGAACGGCAGCACGAACUUCGGUCUGGUGGCGAGUGGCGAACGGGUGAGUAAUACAUCGGAACGUGCCCAAUCGUGGGGGAUAACGUAGCGAAAGCUACGCUAAUACCGCAUACGAUCUAAGGAUGAAAGCGGGGGAUCGCAAGACCUCGGUCGAUGGGAGCGGCCCAUGGCAGAUUAGGUCGUUGGGAGGGUAAAGGCCUACCAAGCCGACGAUCUGUAGCUGGUCUGAGGGGAUGGUCAGCCACACUGGGACUGAGACACGGCCCAGACUCCUACGGGGGGCAGCAGUGGGGAAUUUUGGACAAUGGACGCAAGUCUGAUCCAGCCAUUCCGCGUGCAGGAUGAAGGCCCUCGGGUUGUAAACUGCUUUUGUACAGAACGAAAAGGCUCUGGUUAAUACCUAGGGCUCAUGACGGUACUGUAAGGAUAAGCACCGGCUAACUACGUGCCAGCAGCCGCGGUAA